rnacentral:rRNA from 1 species
AGCGAACGCUGGCGGCAGGCCUAACACAUGCAAGUCGAACGAAGUCUUCGGACUUAGUGGCGGACGGGUGAGUAACACGUGGGAACGUACCUUUUGGUUCGGAACAACUCAGGGAAACUUGAGCUAAUACCGGAUGAGCCCUUAGGGGGAAAGAUUUAUCGCCGAAAGAGCGGCCCGCGUUAGAUUAGCUAGUUGGUGAGGUAAAGGCUCACCAAGGCUACGAUCUAUAGCUGGUCUGAGAGGAUGAUCAGCCACACUGGGACUGAGACACGGCCCAGACUCCUACGGGAGGCAGCAGUGGGGAAUCUUGCGCAAUGGGCGAAAGCCUGACGCAGCCAUGCCGCGUGAAUGAUGAAGGUCUUUGGAUUGUAAAAUUCUUUUACCAGGGACGAUAAUGACGGUACCUGGAGAAAAAGCCCCGGCUAACUUCGUGCCAGCCGCCGCUGUAAUAC